CCCGUGGCCGCAGCAGCACCGACAACGGCAAUGAGGGCAAAACCCAAAGGACGUGAAUGUCCGUGCUUCAGGAUUACGGCCAGUUUGGGGUGGGGACAAACCUCCUCCAGACCCCACUCUGGGGCAUCUUGUACGACCCCCUGGAGCAUGAGACAGUGGUGCUUACAGGAUGCAAAGGUCCAUGGGUCUUGUCCCACCUGGCAGUUCCUACCCCCUCUCUUUGCCCCAGCGACGGCUAGAAAUUCAGGAGGAAAGGAGAAGGCUGGAGAAAAGAGGAAAAGAUUCCUCUAGAGGGAGGAGAGGGAGCAUUUUUUCACCUUAAACUGGCAUGACAACAUGGCAGUUGGACUGGCUUAACUGGCAUAAAGGGGACCUACCCAUAAAGGGGUUUAUGCCUUCUCUUCCUCCUUCGCUCCGCUCCUAACACACCCAAACCAAGGGGGGUGUUGAAACACAUGUAAAGGACAGCGUUUCCUCUACUGCUUGAAAUAAAUAGAAAAGCAACAGUAAUAAAUCUCCAGGAUCAGAUGGUAUUCACCCAAGGGUAAAAGUGCUCACAUAAAAACUGCUUAACCAUUAACUGGAGUGGAUAACCUUUGCUUCAGUCUGAGGCCGGACCAGAGGAUGGAAGGUGGCAAACAUGGGGCUAAUUUUAGAGGAUUACUGGGGGCUGGGCAUGAAAACUCAGCAGGUCUGGUAGAAACUGUAGUGGAGGAUAAAACUCACAGCUGAAUGAGGAAUAUGAUGUAAAGAGGAGGAGUGUGGACUUAACAGAGGGAAGCAAUGCUCCGUAACUUUCUUUGAAGCAAUCACGAGGACAGAGAUGGUCCAGCUGAUAAAGCUGACUUGGAUCAAGGUCUUAGACAAGCUUCCUCACCCAAGGCUUUUAAAGACAUUUAGCUGUCCUGCAGGGAGAGGUGAGGCAGUCUCUUGAGUCAACAACUGAUUGAAACAUCAGAAAGAAAUGGUGAGACCGAAAGGUCAGUUUUCACAAGGAAGGGAAGUCAUCGGCAGCGUCCCAGGGGAGCUGUGGAAUGGCCUGGGCUGCUGGAUGUAGACGGUCUGCGAGAGGGACGGGAGAGGCGGGCUCCAAAGGUGGUUGUUGAGAUCAAGGUAUUUAGGGCUGCAAAAACACAAGCUGACUGUGAGGAGCUGUAGAAGGGCACUGUAAUACCAAGUGACAGGAUGAUAAAAUAGCAGAUGAAAUGCAAUAUUGAUUGCUAUACACGGGGGAGAGAGCCUGAGCUGUGCACUCCUGUGACCUGGCUGAUCCGCGCAUGGCUCUGGCCAGGGCGGCCGGUCCGGCCUGCCUCUGGCGUGCAGGCAGCCCCCUGAGCGGAUCCUGCACAUGGCACCUCUCAGAACAGCACCAGCAGCUUGACAGCUUGCAACCCUCCCAUUAACAAGCGCAAAAGCCUACGGUCAGCUUAAAAACCCAGCAGCUCUUGCACAUCAAACACUUGCUGGUGGGGUUGGUUACUGCCUUGCUAAAAAAAUGCUACUUGCUAUUAGAGGCUUGCUCCUAAGAUCACCAGAUAAACGGCAGCCACAUCCCAGCCCCAUGAAGUCAAAUCCUGCUAAAGUAGGAACAUUACCUCCACCCGCCCCCACAAGCACUCCAUGCUGCAGCAGGGCCACCAGCCACGGUCACAAACCCUUCCAGUGCCGGAGCCCUCAGUCUCUUAGAAGGUGUCCUGCAAUUCCUGCCUCGACGGUGCUUGGGGAAGACACUGGCAAUCACAACGCUCCGUCUGGAAACGACUCCAAGGUUGGCCUUGGCCGAGUCACUCCAUGGCUGGGCAGAAAGCAAGGUGCAACCAGGCCGUUUCAGAGGUGGCUGUGGGGCAGAGGGGGUCCCACUGUCCUCAGCAGGACUCGCCGUAUGAACAGGCAGGGUCACGUCCUCCAUCCAGCAAGUCCAACAUAGAAUUGAUUUACAUGAGCCAAAACCAAGCACCCGCACCCAGCACAAUUAUUGCUCCCACCACGGCCCCGGCAUGGAGGACCCAAGGUCUUCCUUACACAGUCACAUCUUCCUAAUUUUUGCCGUAUUUGGGGUGCAAAGAAAACACACACACACACACCCCCCAUCCCUCAUCCCUGAAAUGACGUCAAAUCGUUGGAAAUUGGGGCAGGAGCACCCAGCUACUCCCAGCGCCUGACACGAGAUGGCGUGUGGCAUCACGGUUUGGGGACCUCGCACUUAUUUACAUUGCAUCUGCCUGGUUUAUUUGCUUCUUAAGGUGAAGUAUUCUCCAGUGGUGGUUAGCUUUGCCUGGCCCUACUUAACUGAACUGUUUCACAGACACUCAGUUGUAGAAUUUAGAUUUUUCUAAGGGGAAAGCCGCCCCCCCGAGCUGGAUGGCUGCUUCUCGUGGGACCGAUUUCAUCUGUGCCUGAUUGCACAGUUUCUAAAUAUAUUGGUCCAGUAAUUCAAAAUUAUUCAUGAAUCUCUUCAGUGAAUAAUACUUGACCUGCAGAUCAUCUGAAAAGUGAAUAUUGCAAUCAAAUUCUCCAUUUCUGCUGUAAUUCAUCGUAGCUACCAGAUGUAUACUGCUCAGGGGGCCACGCUCUGCAAACAGGGAUGGAGAGACGCUCCUCACCUGCGGAGAGCUUCCAGUCCGGACGGACGGGUGACGGGAGGGAGCGGGGGGUCCCUCGGUGCCACGGCCCGGCGGAGCAUCCUUGGUCCCGGGCGAAGAGGCUGGAAGGGCCGAACCACUUUUCUGCAGUUGUUACAUGUUGGGCUUUCGGUUACAGAAAUAUCCAAGCGGAGUGAGAACCCAAAGCGUUUGGCGAUCAUGAGACACAUCUCCCAGCGUCACAGCUUUGGCUUUAAAAUCUUCUUAUUUCUUUUAAAUAAAUAAAUUAUUGGGUGUUUCAGCCAUUCUUUUAGUUUGCCUUCAGAGGGCAGAGCCUUUCGGCGAGCACAGGUUUACGCUUUC